AAGUCGUAACAAGGUUUCCGUAGGUGAACCUGCGGAAGGAUCAUUAUCGAGUACUUUGAAAAGGGUUGCAGCUGGCCUCUCGGGGCAAGUGCUCGCCCCGCUCAAAUAAUCCACUCAAACACCUGUGCACCUUUUUGAACUCGCGAUUUUUUCGGACGAGGGGAUGUCAAAGUCCCUUUGACCGGAGGGGUCACCCGUUCUAUUACAAACACCUAUUGAGUUUUUGAAUGUAAAUUGGUUGGCUUAAAUAAAAUACAACUUUCAACAACGGAUCUCUUGGCUCUC
rnacentral:misc_RNA from 1 species